GUAAGUAUUCCCAUAAUCAUUUUAAUUUAAUACAUGUCAAGAUUCUAUUAUACAGCAACAACAUAACACAAAUGGAUAAAAUGUUUUGUAUUUUACACAGACUUGAAUUUCAUGACACAUACAGUACAAAUUGUACAAUAUUUUCAGGAUGGCAUUUAAUGAUAAUUUUACAAAAGAAAAUUAGUUAUGUUAUCAAGAAUAACAGCAAAACCAGGAAAGCUAUAUCAUUAAUUAAAUCCAAACACACACAGGAAGCAAAUUAUUGUAUUAUUCAAAGUGCAUACUGUACAAACACAAAGAACUGAUUAUAAUAUUUAACUGCAUAUCUCAGUAGUACUUAAACUGAGGAACUAAUAAAGGAACAAUGGAGCCACAUUGUUAUGCCCUCUCUGAAUACAGAACACUGACCUCUCUCUGGCACAUUGUUUCCAACCUUUAGAAGUGGAAAGACCAAUCGAGUUUUGAACUUGAAAUUCAACAGCGUUCUAACUAAUCUCAAUCAGGAAGUCUGCCAAGCACUUUUUCCACUGAUUUAGAGAAUGAGUCUUUAAAGCUAUACUGUUGAAGCAUAAACUAGCGGUUGAAACAUAAACUACAAGUUACUUGUGGAGGGACAGUGUUUUGGUAAUUACGUGAACAUUUUGGUAAUUUGUAAUUAUGUGAAAUUAUGAAUAUCAUGACGUAGGGUGACAUCAGGGUGAGGCAAAAACAGGGUUUGGAUGAUAGUUUCGUGUACUCGCUUAUUAUUUAAAUUUUGUUAAUUUCAAACAAAAAGUUACAUAAUGUUAAAAAACAGUCUCAUAAUAUGUGACCAAGAGGGUUCAACUGGGUCAAUUAAUCAUAAAUUUAAAGAACAGUUUGAAUGUACUUCUGUCAGCAUCUAAUAAAAAGCCAAAAACUACAAAAAAAAUAAUAAUUUUGCAGUAUAUUACUGGCUAGUGAACCCUAACGGCGCCAAACCUAGUGUCUCUUCUCACACUUCAUGAUAACCAGAAUCCCAUGUUGAAAAGAGGCAGAGGUUUUGGAUGGUGACCCACCCUGCAGCAGGAGAAACUAAACCUAUGCUGGUGCGAGGGCCUAAUACUGCAUCGAGCCAGGAAAUUAAUGAAGUUAGGCUUAUGUUCCAGCUGAUAGAGCUGUGUCCUUCAAACACAAAACAAACAUAACAUUCCAGCAUUUGUCUGGAAACAAUGCCCUAUUACCGCUGCUUUAGAGAAUGUGGCUGUGAUUAAAGGAAGUAUUUUGGGGGCAUGAGCUGGAUGGAAUCUGAAUGUUCGUCAUAUCAGGAAUGAAGAGAACAAAACCUGAUGCUUCAUUGGCUUAUAUAGAGUUGCUAUCACCCCGUCUGGAUCUAUUAGGUGUGCUCUUUGGCUGGUACAGAAUUCUGCUCCCUGCAAAAUGUCUCACAUAGAAUGGGAAGCACUUGUUCAUCUUGUUUUAUUAUGCCUCUAUAGUCUGGCCUUAGUGAGCUGUUUAAGCCUAGUGCAUAAGAACUGAUGCCAGAGACAUCUUCUUAAGCCUUACUAAAACCAAGCACUGACAACAAUGUGUCCAACUCAGGUAUUUCAUUCAAAUAAUUCAGAUAAAAUGUCAAACAUCCAGCAAGCUUUCAUGAAGCUAAGUGCAAAUUUGCUAUUAUAUCUAAUAUUAUGUUCUAUGUGGAGCACUUUUACUGCUGUAACUUUUAUUACACACAACAUGUUUAUUUACCACUUAUUUAAAAGGAUUAAAUGGAUAAUUCACCCAAAAAUUAACAUUUUGUUAUCAUUUGCUCACCCUUUUGUCAUUUUAAACCGAUGUUUCUGGUUUUGUCCAUACAAAGAAAGUCAGUGUGACCCAAAACAACAACACUGGACCCCACUGACUUUCAUUGUAAGAAAACACACACACACACACACACACACACACACACACACACACACACACACACACACACACGCACACACACACACACACACACACUCUUUCAGAAUCUCUUUUCUAUGUUUGUUUUGUGGGUAAACUAUCCCUCUAAGAUUCACUGCUGGCACCAUUUAUUUCAGAAUCUCGUGUAAAACCAAUUUUGUUUCUACAUUGUAAAGUUUGAGGUCAGUAAGAUAUUUUCAAAAAGAAAAUUAAUACUUUUAUUCAACAAGGAUCCAUUCAAUUUAUCAAAAGUGACAGCAAAGAUAUUUAUAAUGUUACAAAAAUGAU
ensembl:lncRNA